CACGCCCUAAACGAUGGACACUAAGUGUCGGGCUCUGCCCCGGUGCUUUAAGUUAACACAUUAAGUGUCCCGCCUGAGAAGUACGGCCGCAAGGUUAAAACUCAAAUGAAUAGACGGGGACCCGCACAAGCAGUGGAUCAUGUGGUUUAAUUCGACACUAAACGAGGAACCUCACCCAGGCUUGACAUCGAUGGAAUCCGCCGGAAACGGUGGAGUGCCCGUAAGGGACCUGAAGACAGGCGC
rnacentral:rRNA from 1 species